UCCUGGCAACAGAAGACAAAUGAUUGUGAACGCAAAGGGAAGUACACAGUCAAUGGACCACUAAUAAACCUGUGUCAAAUGAUAUAACCUUGAGGCCCAGUCUCCACAGAGAGGCAGUCACUGGACCGUCCUAAUCUCUGCAUGGAAAACACAGGAGCUACAGGAAGAGUAGUUUCGAGCACUGUGGGAAUCACCAGCAGGAUGUGUACUUGCAGAGAUGUUUUCCAAAGGAGCCUGAAGUACAAGUUACUUUCCACCCAUGCAGGGAUCAGAACACUUCGCUAACAGAGAAAGGAGAUUGAGAAGAUCAGAUCUGAGAGACACGUUCAAAACUAUGUGUACCUGUACCAGCUGACAUUGUACUUGAGUGUUCACGCUAGAGGCUUCUUGGAGAGAAGAGAACCUGCCUGAGCCAUGCCCCAGGGGUCCUGAUACCUCACGCUGGGACACAGAAGUGAACAGCGGUUUCUGACCUGGGAUUCCACACUGCUCAGGAUUUGCUCAGCGAAGCCUGCAGGAGGGAGCGUCGAUCUUUCUCACCAAGGCAGGCCACCCUCCCUACCUGCCCAAGGGGCCAACAACUGCCUCAAGAUGCCCAGGAGGGGCCUCAGUCCUUGAACUCAAGCAGUUCAGUUCAGAGCACAGACUAUGAAGCUAUGAGGCUCAAAGCUUCCAGUGAGUCCAGGAGAAUGCGUUUCAAUCCCUGUUUUUCAGAGCACUUUGAGGUAGACAGUUUCCUCUCUAGCUCCCUCAUCAUAGGUCAUGAAUGUGCUGCUGUGGACCUGCCAGAUGCAAGUACAGGAGAUAGGCCCAGGCUGUACAUCCCAAUUGGAUUGGAAACCAACCUGCAGCUGGCAGAGAUUUUAAGGACAAGAGAGGAUUAAGCAUGAUCUCCAGUAGACACUAAGGGUUUGGCUGUAAGAAGAAGAAGCAUUUUAAACCCUUCAUGUUCACAGUUAUUGCCAGAAGUGGAUGGUCAGAGGCACUGCUUGAGGAAGGCUGACUGCAGAGUAAGAGAUGACCCAAAUUCCCGCUGCCUGACAGCAGAAGAGAUGUUCAAGGAGACUCUGCAAUUGCCCCAAACGCAGAGCAAAGAAGAUGGUGUUUAGCUCUGGACUCAACACACAGGCAUGGUCUCUGCUGAAGAAGUCUGACAAUGUGAGCCAGUUUCUUGGAAAUUAUUUUGAGGACAGUGUGUUCCCCCAGCAGCUGUGAGUCAGUCUUUUACCUUCUCUCAGGUAGCAUAAAUCACCUGCUUUACAGUAACAGCUCUCAAACGGUUCCAGAUGUGUGUGGCCCUGGUCCCUUACCUGUGCUGCUGUAGAUGGUAAAGAAGAGGCCCCCUCCAAUGCCCAUGCUGUGAGCAUUCAUGAGUCCUACGCAAAGCAGAGCUGCAAUCGCAGCAUCCACUGCUGAUCCACCUUGCUGAAGGAUGUCCCUGUGCAGCAGAAGAGAAGGCAUUGGAUGGUGACAUGUUACAGUGUCUCAGCUACCUGUGAGCAAUGGAUUCAUCUCAUCAGAGCAGCUGUGACAGAUUCUCUAAUGCACAUUUGUCCAGACCCAGACUAUAGGUUCCUCAGAAGUAGGAAGUUUUGAGCUUUUGUCACCUUAGAGAACAGAUCCUAAUGGUCUAGGUGCAGACCAGAUCAGCCCUCAUUAGAGGCACAUCCAAACUAGCCUGAAAACACUGUGAUGUAUCAAAGCAUGCAUGGGGACAGGCAUCCCUGACACAUUCAUUACACAUGAGAAAUGACAACUCUCUGAGGAGCCUGAAAUCUGCAGCACUUGCAUCCAGAACUGGAGGACAGCUUGAUAAAUGGUUUUUAACAGGAGCUUGAAAAGCAUCUCUUGUUCCCAUUGUUCAUGCAACUAGGUUCUUUGCCCGCUAUGUUGUCUUUGAGCAACUGCAGUAACACUGGUCAGGCAGGGUAAAAGCCCAGGUUUUAUUAUGGCCCCCUCUUUCUACGGGGAGAUUAGAGAUUAUCUGUGCUGGGCAACGGCCAGGCUUGCACCUGGACAUCGGGGAAACAGUCUUGUGCAAGAACCGUCAGAGCUUACAAGUCACAGCACAAUUAGCGGGUACCUUCCAAUUAUCGAGCACUGCCCUGCAUCCGUAGCCACAGCUGCCCUCUUGUAAGUGUGUGUGUCCCCCGAGUCAGAGCGCAGCCCGAAGAAAAGUCCCAGGAACAAGGUGAGUCCCAGCAAAGCUGCAGCCAGGACUCCGGCCACCACAUAGCGCUGCUUCAUCUUCCUGUGGGAAGAGACAGGAUUGUCAACCUUGCUGCCUCUGGGGCACAUGGGAACUAGGGAGCAGAUGAUCAGGCACAAGAGCAGUAUUUUCAUCUCCCUUCUUUCAUAUCCACUGCUUCCCUCCUCCGAGCCUUGGCAGCCGCCAGCUCUGCACACGGCAGGGCAGUUUGGGAAGGAGUGGCCAGGGGAGGUGCAAGCCCAAUUCUGGCCUUGACGGUUACAUCGGGGUGAUGUCCUGUUUUCAAGUGGAGUAUCAAGAGGGGAGGGGAUGUUCAAGAUGUCCUGCUACUGUUACCUUUCAGUGGCAAUAUGACAACUGAUUGCUCUUUGUGACUUUAUGCUCUGAGGAUUUUAGAUGCUCAGCAAGCAUUUAACUUACUGCUGUGUUUGACAGGACAGGGGCCCAAUGUCAGACUGGAUUUCAUCUAGCUGCCAAAUGAAGGCAGCAAUACCAAUCAGAGACUUUUUAGCAGAUUCCCCCCCCCAGCACAUGCUGUCAGGCCCUUUGCCUAUAUUUUGUAAUGUGAUGGAGUCAAGGACGGCAUCCCACCCACGCCCUGGAGGCAAGCUGGCUUUGCCAGGUAAGCAGCCAUCUCUGUUGACCUCUUCCUCCCUACUUCAUAGCCACACAGUGAGUCUGUAUAUAGGACUUCUUCCCAUCUUUCCAGUCCUUGCUUUUUAGCAGGUUUCCACGAGUUCCGAGAUGCAGGCAGUGAACAGCUGCCUCCUCCCCUGAAGCUCUCACAGAGGGUCUUUCACAUAUUUCCUCACUCAGAUUCAUAUCAAGACCUUUUCUAUGGGCAUUGCCAGUACCAUUUCUUUAUGCCCCUGCCAUCUCUGCACAGAACAAAUGAUCCAGUAACUCCAAAGCUUUUACCAGCUUCCCCUUUACCCAUUACUGCCAUCCUAUUUGCAGAGAUUUCUGCUGCAGUGAGCACCCGGGGGACUCCUGGGAGCCCUUUGCUAACAGUUCUGAAGUGCUACAGGACCAGUAAUGAAAAGGCCCCAAACCAGCAACUAUCACUUGGGUGAGAACCUGUCUUACAGCAGGUGGUAACCUGAUACACCAAAAAAGCAGAUUUGUAAGUGAGAAGGGAAAUCCAAGGAGCAGAACAUAAUUGUUGUUAGUCGUGGCUCACAUCAUCUUCAGAGGAAAAUUUUUUAAAAAUAUUAAUAUAAUCUGCUUUUAAAUACCAUAUCUGUGAAGGAGUCUCUGACCAGAAAGUUAUCAACGACCAGUGCAAAAUACAUCUUAGUCAUCAGCAAGCAACCUUGGCCAAAGCUAUUUGGCACACCCCAGUGGAGCACCCCCUCCUGUUCAGGGUCCUUGGCCAGAGCACCCUUCCGAUCAACUUGCCACUUCUAGAGGGCGACGGCCAGUGCUCAUGUCUCCACAUUUCCCAGUCCUGCAAACAGCUGCUCUUGGAAUGCACAGGGUUACAGUUCAUCUGUGACUGAGCAUAGGACAGCAAGGAGCUCUUGGGCAAGCAUAUUCCAGAUACAUACCAGGAUGAGUCAAGAUCUACUGAGGGGAUGGAGCGUCACUGCCACCUUGUUGGGACUGACAGUUCAUGAAAUACAGCUUGAACAGCUACUCUUUGACCCAUUUCCUUUCCCGUUUACGGGAUUGUUCCAGGAAAAAAGACAUGAAUCCAUCACAUUGCCUUCAGGUACCAACUUUUCCCUGUGUAGUGCAGCUUUGGGUUUUCACCGUGACUGCUGUACUUGCACAACAGCCAAGAUGCCUUUUACCUCACUGAAGCAUCCUCAAAGACGAGCCAAUCCAUGGCACUGUGGGUGAAGAGUGGAUCCACCAACCCCCCACCCUCUGUGGAUAUUCAACAGCCCAAAGCACAGCAGCCAGAGCAGCACUCAGUGCCUUGCAGCAGCACACGCAGGAUUAGGGAGCAGUGAGUGUGCCAGCACUGAGCUAACCAGAGGAAACAGGCCAGGCCAGGCAAACCAAAACUUUUCUCAGAGGGAGGAGAUUUGCAAGCACUGCCCCCUCAACCUCACCCCCCCAUUCCUGUUAUUUAAGUUAGGAGAUACAUAUUUGCUAUCUAAGCCCUGUAUCUGUGAGUCGCAGUCUGAGCACUAAAGAUGUCCAUCUCCAAGUAAAGCAGCUCAGACCAGGGUGUAAAUCUACUGUAUGUGCUGUUCUGUAAACAAAUGUCAACUGAGGGCAGUAAAAGGUAAAUGGAUGAAACCUCCUUCCAGGUUCUAGAACUUGAUUUACACUCAACUACUUUUAAAAGAGACCAGUGGCAUGUUUGCAGAGCAAUGACUGCGCAGGGAAACAGAGAAGCCAUUAUGUCCCCAACAAUAGCUCACACACAGCCUCAGAGUUUAAAGACAGUUUUGUUUGUUGGCAGAGAGAGUUCAGCUUCAGCACUGGCAGUCUCCUCCAGGCUUCACAAGAAAUGCCAUGGGAUCUUUUAUCUGUGCCCCAGCUAGGCAGAAGGUACUUUGUUUCCUCUGAAGGCUGCUCUAUGCCGGCUGUGCCGCAAGCCUGGGGUGUGUUAACCCAUAGGCUCCUGGCUGGGGCCAUGCAGUUCUGCACAGCCGCUUGCCUCCCUGCUGGGCUCCUGUAAGCAUCUGCUGCCCUGUCAGGCAAGUUAUUCUGAGAGCAGGAGAGGAGAAGGGGGAAACCUCAGAUGGUAUUUACUGCUCCCAUCUUUCACCUCCUCUCUGGAUUUGGGAUGACACUCGUGAGCAUCUCAUAGACCCGUAAGAGCCCCACACGGAGUGCCCAGCUGCCCAGUGAGUUCGCAGGGGUGAGGGUAAGACACACACCACUGGGGGCAGGAGGAAGCACCCAGACUGCUGUGGAGAAGAGACAGAUUGCUGGGCUCUGCUCCUGUACUGCACUGUGGUACCACGCUACCCUCUGGGCUGGGCCUCUGGGACCCAAGUGGGGCCAGAAAAAGUGAAUGCUCUCCAUAACACUGCAUCUGCGCAAGCUGUCAGAUUGAUCCUGCUAAGGAAGCAGCAGAUGUACAAGUUGAAGAUCUGCAGUUUUCUUUUCCUCAACAGCACAGACAGCAAACUCAGCUGAGGAUAAUCCUCUCCACCUUAACUGCCAGCUCAACUCCCGUAAGCUCCUUAACCUUUUUCAGGCCUGACCCAAGAGGGAAGCAUCGCUUGCACAGUCCUUACUGCCUUCCUAACUGUGGCACUGCAGGAGCCAAAUGAAUUUUGUUUGCCAUAAAGCAUUCAGGAGAUGGAUCAGGAGCCUGCAGAUAUUCAUCCUUUAACCCACCUACCCACACCCGCUCUGUGCCCUGGGUAAACACACUGCAGGAACAGCUGAGUUUUUGCACCAAUGGUCUUUCUGAGCCUCACUGCGUCCCCGCUAUGAUUUAUUGUUGGGAGCGAAGGAGCAGCUGCGGGCCACCGCCUGUGCUGGUUCCCAAACUAUUGUCUGCUGAGGCUGGCUUGAACCUCCAGAUCCCUGCCAAAUGCAGGUGUUUGGAAGCUUGGCUAGCACUUCAGUCACGCAGGGCUGCUUGGCAGCAGCAGCAGGUCUCCAGGAGAGAGGGGCUAUAAAACCAUUAAAAGCAAUAUGAUUAUUUCUCACUGUUAUAAAGGUCCAACAGCCAGUCCUAGCCAUGGAAUUUAAAAUGUAGCUCAACAGCCUGUUUUAAUUUAUAUUAACAGAGGGGGAGGACCAGCAAGCAGCAGAGUUACGCCUGCACGAGCAACCCCACUGAGCUGUGUUCAGAUGUGUCACAGCCUUAUUUAAACACACGAUAUUCACAGCCUUAUUUAAACAUGACACUGUUUUUUAAAUAAAAGGGCCCCAGUGCAACAGGCUAGGUAGUAUCAGGCAGGGGAUACAGGGUCUGACAUCUCUGCCAAGAGGGUUUGGGGUACACUGUAGAGAUGAGGUACCUGCCUCAGUCAGGGAAAGCACCAGGAGAACUGAAAGAGGAGAAAGAGGAGAGGUACCAGCCAGAAAGCAGGGGAGCAAGAACAGCAGGAUACCAGAGGAUGACAAAAGGGUCCAGGUAUGGUCAGGCACUGCCUUGUUCUUGAAUGAAGUAGUGAAGGAAGCAUCCACUGACAACACCUAAAACGUUAACCACAAUCUUCAACCCAACAGGCUUCUGCUUUAAAUCCCUCUUGCAACAGCUGCAUACCUCGGCACCCACUCCUAGGAUUUCCGUGUACUCCCAUCCCCAGCCCAGGCCAUUAGCUUUGAGACAUCUGUCCUUCCUUUCCCCAGGCAGCACACAGUACGCAAGGACAGACUGGACAUCUGAAUCUUGUCACAGGACAUGCUCUUCUGAUAAAACUCAAAGUCUAAUCCAUAUUAAUUAUUUAAAUAUGGCAUUGUUAUCGAUAACAGUUGAAAUAAUGUUUGCACACUCUACUGUUGUGUAGAGUGAACUGUCAGUGACUUUUGAGUGAGAAUGCACGUAAAGCAAACAGCUGCAAGACUGCCACAGGGCCCCCAGGGGUCUAAGCCAACAGAGGCCUCAGAAAAGCAGAACCAGGUUGCCAGCAGAGGCCCAAGGGCUGCUCACACAAAUGUCCCGUUACUGAUCCAGCGUUAUGUGGCAACCUAACAAAGGUGCCUACAACCAAUCACACAGGUGGAGCCACCUCUAAAGUAUAUAUAAAACUCUAAGACAGCUACUUACACUAACAGCAUACUCCAGAACUGGGUACACCACGUUGAUCACUGACAUCCUGUCUUGCUACAGCUGUAGGUGCUGUCUGACCCAAGGGCUGUUCCCAGCACCCUGCUGGGGGGCCAGGCCAUACGGGAGCUCACCGGGAGCUAGUGUAAUGAAGAAAGCAAAUUAUUGCUUCACCUGUGGGAAGCCCUUGCACUAGGAGUCUGUGCGCACACCCAGUUAGCCAGAAGACAGUUUGAAUUUUCAGGUAUAACUGUGCUAACCAUGCAUUCCGCAACUGUCAGUAAGGACGACAGCCAGCAACUUCUGCUUUCAUCUGCAAGAAUAUCAAGGGUCAUCAGCCUCUGAGCAGCUAAUUAGCUGAGGUUAUCUGCUCCAAGAGAACUUGCACUGAGAAAAAUUAAGACAAGACCAACACAGAAAGUACACUGGGACUGUCCAUGGCUACUUCUGGUGAUUUCAGCAGUUCCUUCCACUUCAAAAGGCAGAAAUGUUUGCAAGAUUUGUUUGCUGGUCUGAGUUAAUCAUGUUGUACUUUGCUUAUGUACCUGUUUUCUAGCAGUUCUGUAAGAUUUAGUAUGACUCUGGCUAAGUAGGGUCUUUGCCUAUGCAUUCUAGAGCACAUUAUGCCUUCUCACAUGCCAAAUCCAAAGCUUAGGUUGCCCAUUCCUCAUCAGCAAUUCCUUCAUUACACAAUCUACAGUUCUUAGGUUCUGGAAGGCUAAUAUAUGCCAUAAUUACCCAAAGGUCAGGGGAUAAACACCUUACACAACAAGGAUUGUGUAAAGACUACGUAGCUGGAACAUCAGACCUGCCUCCUGCCUACCAGGUCAGAGGUCUCCAAUUACUAUGGGGUCUUUGUAUCUCACCGUAAAUAAUCCCAAAGUAGUGGUAGGGGGUGACCUGGUGCAGGCUGUACAUAGCUUUACUCUUGGGGUGAACUGGGACGGCUCAGAUGCAGUAUUUCUACCCACUAACAGGUCUGUGUUAGCCCAAAUGGCAGAAAACUUUGUAACUUUGUGAGUGAUACCUUCGUGCCUGCUCUUCUAUGGCUUUGUUAGGAGAGACACAAACUUCCCGAGCACUCUCCUUUCGAGAGCAGCCCCACAAGGAAAGGGUUGGUUUCCCCGUGCUAUAUGUCCUGUACUCGCACACAAAGGUCUGGUUCCAUAUAAACCUCCCUGCAUGCAGCCUUGCCCUGCGGUUAUUGCAAGACAUGAACUUAUUAAGCCAUUUAAGAUUCUGAUCUACAAGUUUAUGUGCUAAAUACUUUUCCCCUCAGGUCUUUUACUAGGAUUUACAGUAGCAGUCACCAGGACGCCUCUGAUCAGGACUCUGGUUCUGCAACCAACCACACAGGCAGACAGAAUCUCCUAUCAGGUACUGGUCUUCAUGGUGACUAGCAGGCAUUUUUUCCAUAACUAUUUCUACCUUUUCCACACAAUGCCUUUAAACAAGUUAUUAACAACACCUCUUGUAUCUAAGGAAAUCAUUCCCAAUGCAAGUCUUACCCAGAUUUCUGUAGAAAACUGACUCAAAUAUUUAAGUAUCAGCACAAGCAGAUAUUUUAAGCCUAGUAAAUUCCAGGCCACACAAUGAGACAAGAGAUGUGUUCUGGUAUUAAGCUGGAACUUAAAACUAAGAAGUUCUUGUCCUUAUCCAUCACAAUAUAUUUAAGUUGAAGUCUUACACAGCUUUCAUCUGCACCAGCAAGAAGGGAACUAAAGCAGAGUUCAGCAAAGCCACGAAGAAGCCCAAACAGGCUUCCAAAUUUGGAUCCAGGCACUGCUCCUGCAUGGAGCAGGGGGACGAAGCAAUCCCUGAAGAAAUGCAGUUAUUCCAUUCAGCUCAGCUACAAGCCUUCCUCACAGCUAGCGCCUGUCCAGCUGGCCUGCACCCUGUGUGACUUGCUGCCUCCCUCCCCUCGGAUGCAGGUUACAAGCCUUUAGCACCCUCUUUGGUAAGGCUGGCAUGGAGGGCUCAUGUGCAUAUGGAUCAAUUUUAAGGAGAAAGGCCUCAGUGAAGAUCAGUGGUCCCUACUUACUGCUGUGAUGGCCAGCCAGACGCUGAAGAGAACUGAGGGAAAAGUCCCUGAAUAAAGCAGGCUGUUCCAGCUGGCUUUCAGGUAUGCAGUUUACAAAAAGAGCUAUUGUAAUCGAAAUCUGCAACUCCUCCACAGACACUGGGUUUUCUGAAGCCUAAUGGCAUGUCGUAUGCUGUUCAAUGUAGAGUAAACUCAGAGUUCCCUGAGAGAGACAAUAAUUUCCUCUUGAAAUUGUUUUUUCCAAAAAUACCUUUCAUGUUUUCCUGCAGGAAUUUUAGUGUCAAAUCCAACAUUUUUUAUUAUAAGACACUUCAGCAUAAACUUUGAAGUGAAAAAAGGCAGAAAGGGGGAAUAAAUGCAGAACAGCCCAUUUCACAUUGUUUUCACAGUAUUUUCUAGUUGGGGACCUCCCAGAAAACCAGAACUGACAAACUCAAUGUCAAAAAUGCAAGUUAUUAAAGUUUUAUGAACUCAUGCGGGACAUCACUGUUACAUUCCCUCCCAAUUUAAAAUCAAAAUGCUUCAUUAAAAUAGUUCUAUUCUCCCAACUGUUGCAAAAGAUGUUUUCAGAUGUUCUUCUGCCGUUAGACUAGAAGUUACUAGACCUGAGCUUAUUCAGACUGGUUAGUCAGGUUCUAUCAUUUUCUUUUGGCAAGCUUUCAUCUGAUACAUUAAAAAAAGUCCCAGUGUCCCAUAUUCUGCUAAAUAUGAAAUCCCAUACAGCACUUCCAGGCUGAGGGGACUGGCUUAAUGAAGGUAAUUUCUAAUUCCUCCUUACCUCUCCAGAGUAUUUGCAAAGUCCGUCCUGUCUUUUUGCACAGAUCUUUAUGUACUGAUACCCUUUGAAUAUCCUUUCUCAAGCAGUGAACCCCUUUCUAGGGACAAUACAUCCUUGUAGCAGUAACUACGUUACUUAAAAGCUCUCUGAAGCGUAUCCUACAACCUGAUAUUUGUACCGCUCUGCUCAUGGAGAUUAACUCAUCGAAACUCAUUAUGUUUGAAUUCACAGUACCAAAGGAAUGCAUAAGUAAUCAUUGACUAGGUGAAGAGUCAAGAACCCACAUUUUAAAAUGCAUAUUUUAGCAUCCACAAAUGCUGUAUAUCACCAGCAGAUUCAGUCUGUGUUCUUGGAUUGGGUUACCACGUAAUGCAAAUGUUAGUUUUGCCGCACCUCAUCACUAGCUCUUAAAUUCUCAUUAAGCAACAGUGCAGAUAUGUGGUCAUCUUAAGCAGAAGCGCUCCCAUCUCCACAUGGUCAUGUACCCUCACACCACUCUUGCCUAACCAGCUGGCACCCUUGUGAUUCAAGAAGUCUGGGUUUUAAGUGUGUCUGUACCUUGCAGCUUAAACCCAGACACCCUGACAGAUUCAGCUGUGUUUACAUUUCGUGGGAACAACCUCCUCUUGACCAAGUGUGAGCAAGUGCCUGCAAUGUGAGGGCACCCGAUCAGCUCAUGUACCUUUCCUCAGCAAUCAUCACAGCUGCACACUACCUUAACGCUGUCAUUGGGUUUAUUUCCGAUUAAAACUCCAGCUGCAAUGACAAGAUGCAGUGCCUGUUCUGCCACCCCUGCUCCCAUAGCAGCACCCUCUGCCUGGAAGGAUGGCAAAGCAAGAAGGUAGGGAUGAAGAAACCUGCCUUCCAUCACUAAACCUCACUGAGGCUUUUAAGCAACAACCCUACACGUCUGCUUGUGCCAAUUCUAGAAGCAUAGUUGCACCUCAAAGGUAGCAGCUUACCUGCCAUUGAACAGUACAGCAUAAACCCCAGGAGCAACCCAGACUUGAGGUAACGAGCUGCAUUAACUGUCUUUGGACUCUAAGGACUCAGCUACUAAAGCUUUGGCCACUGCUGCUGUCUGUGACUUGCUAGCAACCUUAGACCCACCUUUGAACACCAGAGCUGAAUGCCCAUCUAGAUAGAACACAGCACAGGCAAAUCACAGCUUGCCUGAAGCAUGGGCACAGCAAGGAUACAAGCCUACAUGUCCCAAGCCUGAUUUUUAGCCAGGAGGCUGUCCUGCAAAAGCAGGAUGAUGCAAAGUCUGCCUGGAUGCCAGUCAGCAUGGCUAGGUGCUAUCUCUUCACCUACCAGGAUCAACCAGGUGGUUAAUGUCUCAAUUCCAAACCUGCCCAGUCCUUCUGCCCCACUCCAACCUUUGACACACUGGAUCUUUACUUACUUGAGAAGGAUGGUAGCUAUACUACGACUCAUUAACAAAAUUUGGCCUAGCUCCAAGGGUAAAAGGUUUUGAGAACAUGAGCUGUAUUUUCUCUGCUUUAAAAUACAUCUUCUUUUCUGUAAUAGCAACAAAAUGGAGUUCUGUUUAACAUCUACGCUUGGUAAAAUCACGCGCCCAUCUUUCAAAGAGGACUUUCAGAUACUCCUUUCAUAGCAGUGCAUCAAGAGGGCAGGUCCCUCCAGUCAUAUUGCUGUAGUCCAAGAGAUCUUGAGCAAAAAUGGAAGCUUUCUGGAAAGCAGGUACUGGCACAGAAAAUAUUCUGCAAGCUCGGAAGGAUUUGAUGUAUCUGCUGUUUCUACUGGCCAGUCUGAAGUGCACGUUCAGAGUCCAGGCCAUAUUCAGUAACACAUACCGCUCUCGCUGCAUCUCAUUUAUUGAUGUGAGACCCAUGAUGCUCCACAGAGAAGACUGUGACAGGAGCUGUUCCAAAACAACUAUCCUCUGAAAAAGCAGACAGUGUGGAACAGUAUUCUGCUCUCUGCCUCAAACGGAACUGCACUUUAUCUGUCACACCUUUAAUAUUAAAUGAUAUUUUAUAGGGGAAUCUAAGAUGCAGUCUACUGAACUGAACCUUUUUCUUAAUUUACUAACUCUAUAGGUGUGAUGGUGCCUGGUUUUAUGCUUAAUAGCAACUUCAGAACUAUAAAACUAUGUUCUUGAAGUAGGUCUAGAUCAGAAGAGUGUCUCCCUGGCACCACAUUUGUCUUGGAGGGUGCAAGGUCACACAGAAAGGCUGCUAGCUCUAAGAAAUCCCCAUUCUAAAUCAUAAUUAUCCAACUGUAACUCUUCACCCCCAUUGCUGAAAGGCAAGUUUUAGACCAGUGAGCCACCAGAAUUAAGCAAGUUCCUACGUCUUUCUUCAAGGGCAAUGUAGUUUCACCUGUGGCACAUCCUUACCAGCACAGAGCUGGAACAAGCUGGAUGCCCCUCAGCAGAUCAGUCUUUCACUUAUGUACAAGUAGAGUUGAGGAUGGUGUCAUUCUCAUGAUGAGAAAGUUACGAAACCUGAAGUUAGUGCUUCUGAUAGGUGAACAGCUUGCCAUGUGCAGGCUGUGCUAUGCACAACUACCUAAUUUCAGUUGUACAUAGUCUUUGGGAACUGUCAAGUAUCUCUGUCUAAGCAAUAGAGAGUCCUGUUACAACUCACCCUUGCGUGUUUCAAGCAGCAAAGCCGCACCUUAAACAGCAAUGCCAUGUUUAAUGCAGGUGCAUUGCUGCCUUGUUAAUCUCCACAUCUCAAGCCAUUACAAAGCAAGUGCCUCUUGCAGGGCUUGCCACCUCUUUCUGUCUGUGAUGUUCACGGCAUGGUCAUCUUUAACAUUCUCCAAAAUUAGCAUGCACUAUUACACUGAAACAUGAGCAACAGACUGAAAACUCCAUUUGUUCCUCCUCCUAGAGGAGUGCAUCCAUCAGCACCUGAAGCAAUGCCUUCACAGCUUUUGUAACAGAACUUGCAGAUACUAUAAAGUAUCAGGCAACCUGAAGGCACUUCUGGGCCAUUUUUAUUUUUGCUUUUCCCUCCCCAUCCCCUAUUGAUUUUUUCCAUAGGACUUUCAUGAAGCAACAACGACUCACACAACCCAGAUCACGCAAUCACAUCUACUGUUCAGACUCCUCCUUUUCAUGGAAGAACAUGCAAUCCAAGGUCUCCAUUUCCUGAUGUUUUAAUUAAUGCAUUGUUGGAAUAGAAGCUGUUACAAGAUGUCCUCAUUUUGCAGGUUAGCUAUUUUUUCCAUGGGGAAGUCUUUCCUCUCUAACAGAGCCAUGUUGCAAUCCAAUGCUACUUGACCAUAAGCAUCAAAACAGUAUCUUGAUUGCCCAGUAACAAACACAGAGAUCUUAAUAAGCAUGUGAGGCUUCUUCCACUAUAUGUUUCCUUGCCGACACCUUGCUCCACUCUUCCGUGCAUGGGGCAACCAGUGGAGGUUAAGUACAAGCUGCAUGAGCAGCACGCAGUCCUCAUUGAAGCUAAACACCACAUAAGAAAUACCAAUACAAAAAAAGAGACCACUGCUAAAAAAGUCCUGGCAAACAAGUCAAUGGGGAAGACUCUUAAGAGAAAAGGUACUUUAGGAACUGGAAAAGUUGCCUAGCGUGCAAUAGGUCAAAUUGACUAAGAGCAGGGAUACAACAGCUGACCUGCAGAGCUGAAGCUAAAUAAGCAGAUGUUUGCCCACAGCCAAAGCACCUCCUUCCCCUCCAGUGAGAGCUGCUUCCACUGCAACGCACCUGCUCAAAGAGGACGAACCACUAAACCCACAUGCUCUCAUUUUAUGAAGUCUGGUUUCCCAUAAUCAUCCACAGGUGCACAUUACUCCCUGGGGCAAAGGUAAGCAAAAUGAAAGAUAACUGGUAAAUGGGGAGUUUAUUAACCCUUUCUUGCCAGCCACAUGGCCCAGUUCUGGUUAUAUUCAUAUACCCACAUAGGGCUGAAGUAGUUUUACUGGGACAGUGCUGCGGUACGACAGCUGACAAAGCUCCUUGGUGGCCAGAGGCGUUGUUGAUUGCUGUGCAGAAGGAACAGUGAUGUACCUUUGACAAAGGCCACUGGGAUGCAUUUAACGGGGAAAAGUUUGGAUAAAACCUUCUGAUGUUGUACUAUUCUGACAUCAAGAAUUCAUGCCGUUGCAUAUUAAUAAAAUUGUUAUGAUCCCAAUGGG